AGAGUUUUAAUGAUUUAGAAUAUUGGAUUAUAACUGAUAAUCUGAUUAUAAUUAAUUCAGUCAACGUACAAGUUAUAGGCACCACUGAUGCGACUGCCAUGAGGAAUUAAAAGAUCCGGUCAUCAAUCAUUUCCAUUAAUGAAAUAGGAAAUAAUGAAAUUAUCCGAAAGUCUACAGUAUGAGAAAAUGGUUUGAAAUAAUGCCAACAAGGCAAGGUACUCUUUGCUGGAUCAUAGGAUCUUGUAAGCUGACUAUCUCCCAGUGAAAAUUAAAAAAGUUAUACAUUUCUUAUUUAAGAGCCCAAGUCUAUGAUUAGUAAUAUGCUUUUAUCCUUUCAAUUUCUGCAUGAAAAUAUAUUAUGAAUGAAGUGCAGCCCCUAGAUCGAUAUAUUUCACAGCUGUAGCCCUAAAACAGCCGUCCACAACUUCCACUAAAGUUGUCCUGCACCCCAAUUAAUGUCUUAUAUAGCCCCAAGUUCAGAUUGGCAAAUUAGCUUGGAACUGUAAAUUU